rnacentral:tRNA from 1 species
GCGCUCGUAGCUCAGGGGAUAGAGCACUACCCUCCGAAGGUAGAGGUCGAACGUUCAAUUCGUUUCGAGCGCGCCA